rnacentral:rRNA from 1 species
AUUCCAGCUCCAAUAGCGUAUAUUAAAGUUGCUGCAGUUAAAAAGCUCGUAGUUGAGUCUCGGGUGCAGGCUUGCGGUCCGUCUCGCGGCGGUCACUGCUCGUCCUGGCCUCCACGCCGGCGUACCGUCCCUUGGUGCUCUUGACUGAGUGUCUCGGGCGGCCGGAACGUUUACUUUGAAGAAAUUAGAGUGCUCAAAGCAGGCCUUGGCCGCCUGCAUAAUGGUGCAUGGAAUAAUGGAAUAGGACCUCGGUUCUAUUUUGUUGGUUUUCGGAGCUCGAGGUAAUGAUUAACAGGGACUGACGGGGGCAUUCGUAUUGCGGCGCUAGAGGUGAAAUUCUUAGACCGUCGCAAGACGAACUACAGCGAAAGCAUUUGCCAAGCAUGUCUUCAUCA